CCGACGGUGAGAGACGAAAGCUGGGGCACGAACCGGAUUAGAUACCCGGGUAGUCCCAGCCGUAAACGAUGCUCGCUAGGUGUCUGGGAUGGUGCGACCGUUUCAGGUGCCGCAGGGAAGCCGUGAAGCGAGCCACCUGGGAAGUACGGCCGCAAGGCUGAAACUUAAAGGAAUUGGCGGGGGAGCACUACAACGGGUGGAGCCUGCGGUUUAAUUGGACUCAACGCCGGAAAACUCACCUGGGGCG
rnacentral:rRNA from 1 species